UUAACGUACAAUGUCGGUAAGAGCAUCCUUUGAGGGCUUUAAACGUUGAUUAGCAUGUGCGCCCUUGUGCAUUUUUUUUGCGUUAAUCAUUAGAAGAUCACAAAACACACGGUUUCUAUGCCGUACCCGUCUGCGUUUUUUUUUACGUUAAUGACCCAUAAGUCAGUUAGCUGUGCAAUAUCUCUACUCCUAAUGUCUCAGUUGAUAGUCUUCGUCGGUUAAUUUUCGUCCAACCUCCCCUAGUUUAUUUUCGUCCCACUUCCUUAGUUUAUUUUCAUCCUCCCCCCACCUCACAGGUAGACAUAUCAACAAAAAAAACCACCAGCGAUCCCUCCACGUCCGUCGAUCCAAGGACAGACCUCCCGUCGCACCAGAGAAAAAGGGCCGAAAAAAAACUAUGAAAAAAAAAACCAGCGAUCGCUCGCACAUACGAGCGAGGCUCCUCUGCCUUCGAGCGAGAACCAGUCGCAUGCACGACUCGUUCGGCACCGCAGCCGCUCCAUCCCUUCGCCCACGCCGCUUCAUCCCUUCGCCGCCGCCCUCCACUUCAGGAGACGCAGCCGAUCCCGUUGAGGAUCCGCCGCCCUCGCACGUCAGAGCCGCCGCCCUCGCACGUCAGAGCCGGCGACGGUCCCCUUCAGGAGGACGCCGAUCCCCCAGAUCCGGCGCUGCUCCCGUUGAGGGCCUGUCGCCGAUCGCAUCCAGGUUCCCCCGACGAGAUCAUUGCGGAUAUAGGAGACAUAGAUAUGGAUUUUGGAGACGUUCAAAAAGAUUCCAUCAACAAGGGUUCUGAAGUGACGUCGCUGGAAGGGGCCGAAAAUUCACCGAGUUUUUUUUACAGCGGUGAUAUAUCUCAUAAAAAACAUAAAAUGAUGCCAAUUUAAAUGUUAUCGCACAAGUUAUUGCUUUCAAUGUUAUUACCAAUCUUCCUCUGUCAUAUUGACUUUUGUAUUCAACUACUUUGGCUCAUUUUUUUAUAUUCAUUUGGCUCAUUUUUUUAUAUUGAUUUGGCUCAUUUUUUUAUCAUGCCGACAAACUAUGUUUGUACCCCUAGAGAUAUUACAGUCAUCGAAUCAAUCAUGUUCGCCACCAUGAAAACCAAGUUCAUGGACAUUGGAGAUGCCUUGUUAUCAAUUGACGAUUUGGAAUGCUUUAAGA